AGUGAACGCUGGCGGUAGGCCUAGCACAUGCAAGUCGAACGGCAGCACAGUAAGAGCUUGCUCUUACGGGUGGCGAGUGGCGGACGGGUGAGGAAUACAUCGGAAUCUACUUUUUCGUGGGGGAUAGCGUAGGGAAACUUACGCUAAUACCGCAUACGACCUACGGGUGAAAGCAGGGGAUCUUCGGACCUUGCGCGAUUGAAUGAGCCGAUGUCGGAUUAGCUAGUUGGCGGGGUAAAGGCCCACCAAGGCGACGAUCCGUAGCUGGUCUGAGAGGAUGAUCAGCCACACUGGAACUGAGACACGGUCCAGACUCCUACGGGAGGCAGCAGUGGGGAAUAUUGGACAAUGGGCGCAAGCCUGAUCCAGCCAUACCGCGUGGGUGAAGAAGGCCUUCGGGUUGUAAAGCCCUUUUGUUGGGAAAGAAAAGCAGCAGGUUAAUACCCCGCUGUUCUGACGGUACCCAAAGAAUAAGCACCGGCUAACUUCGUG
rnacentral:rRNA from 1 species